CUUCUAGUCAGCUGAAAUUGCUCAAUUGGGAGAGCAUUAGACUAAAAUGUCACCCUUAAGUUCAACAAAAAGAUAAAAUACAAUUCAGAAGGCAAAAGUAGUAAGAAUAAAGGCAAAGAGUUACAAAAUAGCCUGACAUCUUCAAAAAACUGGGGUGUAGAAUGCAUGUGGGGAGAAAUAGUAAAUCAGUUAGAGAAGGUGGUGGAAGGUAGACAAGAAAGAAAUCUUAUGCUAAGCGCUUUCGAAAUUCCUCACAAUCAAUAGGACGUCUGAUUCAAUGUUGAUAGAAAUAUUGGGUGAGCAUCGUUGUGUUGUUCUUCAAGGGGGAAACAUGCUGUCUUUCACUGGUAGAAAUUGAACAAAAGCAUUCUUUGCUAUUAUACCUGGGUUGUUCUUCACUGUUCCCUGGGAAUCUGUUACGGAAAUUAUGCUGAGCUAAUAAUUCUGAUGGGAUGAUCUUCACUCAUGCAGACUGUGGCGUCAUGUAGAAGGAAGGCUAAUAUGGAUGUGAGGUUCAAGAUCAAGAUGGGCAACUGAUGGUCAGACUCCAGUGGUUCUUCAAAACUUUCUAGGAGGUAAACAAGAUGAAAGGGAAAGCACACAAAUUUGCUGGAAUUUGGAAAACACGAACCCUGGAAUUUGGAGGAGUCACUUCCACUGGAAAAUACUUUUAUAUUAUUUAUAGUGGCUACCAUUACCGUGCUCACUUUACAGGUGAGGUUCAGAGAUUUAUGUAACAUGCCAAAGGUCACACAGCUGGACACAGCAGAACCAAGAUUCAAAUCUGCACAGCAGUAAAUGAAACCAGCCCAGCUGCGUGCUCACCUGAAACUUAUUUUCUCCUUCACGUUCCAAACUCAUGACUUGCUUGUGGCAGAAAAAAAGAACUACUUCGGGGUCCGCAACCCCUGGCAGUGGACCGGUACCAGCCCAUGGCCAGUUAGGAUCUGGGUAACACAGCAGCAGGGCCAUUUCAGUCCAAGGAGGAAUGGGACGCAUAGGUGACCACCAAAUAGUGAAGAAUAUGAAAAUCCAUGGUCAUCCCAGAAAAGGUA
rnacentral:lncRNA from 1 species